GACAGAGGUUGCAAACGUUGUUCGGAAUUACUGGGCAUAAAGCGCACGUAGGUGGUCCGCUAAGUCGAUUGUGAAAUUCCCCGGCUCAACCGGGGAACGGCACUCGAUACUGGCGGGCUUGAGGUCCGGAGGGGUGAGUGGAACUCCUGGUGGAGCGGUGAAAUGCGUAGAUAUCAGGAAGAACACCCGUGGCGAAGGCGGCUCUCUGGGACGGUACUGACGCUGAGACGCGAAAGCGUGGGGAGCGAACAGG
rnacentral:rRNA from 1 species